AGCGAACGCUGGCGGCAGGCCUAACACAUGCAAGUCGAACGAACCCUUCGGGGUUAGUGGCGGACGGGUGAGUAACACGUGGGAACGUGCCUUUAGGUUCGGAAUAACUCAGGGAAACUUGUGCUAAUACCGAAUGUGCUCUUCGGGGGAAAGAUUUAUCGCCUUUAGAGCGGCCCGCGUCUGAUUAGCUAGUUGGUGAGGUAAUGGCUCACCAAGGCUACGAUCAGUAGCUGGUCUGAGAGGAUGACCAGCCACAUUGGGACUGAGACACGGCCCAAACUCCUACGGGAGGCAGCAGUGGGGAAUCUUGCGCAAUGGGCGAAAGCCUGACGCAGCCAUGCCGCGUGGAUGAUGAAGGUCUUAGGAUUGUAAAAUCCUUCCACCGGUGAAGAUAAUGACUGUAGCCGGAGAAGAAGCCCCGGCUAACUUCGUGCCAGCCGCCGCCGUAAAAC
rnacentral:rRNA from 1 species